rnacentral:tRNA from 1 species
UCCCUUGUGGCUAAGUCGGUAAAGAAUCUGCCUGCAAAGCAGGAGACCUGGGUUUGAUCCCUGGGUUGGGAA